rnacentral:SRP_RNA from 1 species
ACCGGAAGUGGUGGUGGUGUGUUCCGAUUACUUGGAGGCUAAGUAAAGAGGUUGUUUUAGGGGGGGGGGGUUCUGGGGUUGGAUUUUCUACGUUGACUAAAAAUCAGCUAGGGGUAAAUUUUCAAUUUGAAUGCUUUUGGGGAGCCCGAGGUAGUCAGGUGGAAUCCAAAAAGGAGAAAAUUCGGUUCAAAAGUCACAGAAUUUAAAUCCUGGGGGUGGAAAAUCAAUUUCAGCUCGUCCAGCAAGAACAAACGUGUACCUUC